AACGAACGCUGGCGGCAUGCCUAACACAUGCAAGUCGAACGAGACCUUCGGGUCUAGUGGCGCACGGGUGCGUAACGCGUGGGAACCUGCCCUUAGGUUCGGAAUAACUCCCCGAAAGGGGUGCUAAUACCGGAUAAUGUCUUCGGACCAAAGAUUUAUCGCCUUUGGAUGGGCCCGCGUUGGAUUAGCUAGUUGGUAGGGUAAAAGCCUACCAAGGCGACGAUCCAUAGCUGGUCUGAGAGGAUGAUCAGCCACACUGGGACUGAGACACGGCCCAGACUCCUACGGGAGGCAGCAGUGGGGAAUAUUGGACAAUGGGCGAAAGCCUGAGCCAGCAAUGCCGCGUGAGUGAUGAAGGCCUUAGGGUUGUAAAGCUCUUUUACCCGGGAUGAUAAUGACAGUACCGGGAGAAUAAGCACCGGCUAACUCCGUG
rnacentral:rRNA from 1 species